rnacentral:rRNA from 1 species
ACAAAGGCAUGGUCCUGACCUUAUUGUUAGCUUUCGCUCAACUUACACAUGCAAGUAUCCGCACCCCCGUGAGUAUGCCCUCAAUCCCCCACCCGGAGAUAAGGAGCGGGCAUCAGGCACAUAGAUUUAGCCCAGGACGCCUAGCCAAGCCACACCCCCAAGGGAAUUCAGCAGUGAUAAACAUUAAGCCAUAAGUGAAAACUUGACUCAGUUAGAGCUGAUAGGGCCGGUAAAACUCGUGCCAGCCACCGCGGUUAUACGAGAGGCCCCAGUAA